rnacentral:rRNA from 1 species
GAUGAACGCUGGCGGCGUGCUUAAUACAUGCAAGUCGAGCGAACAGAUGAUGAGCUUGCUCCUCUGACGUUAGCGGCGGACGGGUGAGUAACGCGUGGAUAACCUACCUAUCAGACUGGGAUAACGUCGGGACACCGGAGCUAAUACCGGAUAAUAUAUUGAACCGCAUGGUUCAAUAGUGAAAGACGGUUUUGCUGUCACGUAUAGAUGGAUCCGCGCCGCAUUAGCUAGUUGGUAAGGUAACGGCUUACCAAGGCAACGAUGCGUAGCCGACCUGAGAGGGUGAUCGGCCACACUGGAACUGAGACACGGUCCAGACUCCUACGGGAGGCAGCAGUAGGGAAUCUUCCGCAAUGGGCGAAAGCCUGACGGAGCAACGCCGCGUGAGUGAUGAAGGUCUUCGGAUCGUAAAACUCUGUUAUUAGGGAAGAACAAAUGUGUAAGUAACUAUGCACGUCUUGACGGUACCUAAUCAGAAAGCCACGGCUAACUACGUG